CUUUUUUAUUUGAUAGGUUCGGCAAUGGAAGAUUUGAUGCGUUUGACGGUUUGAACUGUUAUUGCAGACUUAACAUUAACAGCAACCGGAUUCGGCAAGCCUGAAUCAGAUAACGGUGAAGUAUCAGAACCGUCUGAAGCUCCACUUCCAUCCAGAGAUACAUUGGCUGGUUUGAUUUUGGCUUUUAAACCUUUGUGAAAUGCCCCAGUAUACACAUGGGCUUUUAGCCAAUUGACUAUUUCGUGUUGCACAUCAGGGGCCAUAUAACCUUCCUGCAAAUUGAUAUUUGCAGUCAAUGACAACUGCAACUUCAAUCAAGUCUAUAUUUGCACCAUCUGUACGUGGCUCAGCAGUUCCUGAUUUUAGGAGAUUUGAGAUUGUAUCAUGCUUAUUGCAUUUCUCAACAAUGCCAAAACCUAAAAGUGCUGCAUUUGAGCAGGAUUCUUGUGCAUCAAUUGAUACCGGCCAUUGAGAAGAGGAAUCAACAUUAACGGGCUGACUUUCAUCAAACCAUUUAUUUCGCUGUUAACUUGUUGAACUUCGAGCUGAUGGACACUUUUUUGCAGGCAUUUAUUCAAGUUAUGAACGGUACACUCUACACCCAAGUUAGUUCGCAUUGCAGGAGGAUGUGUCUAAGUCCACAUAUUAGAUGACUUGGUCAUCUACGUCAACUG